GACAGAGGGUGCAAACGUUGCUCGGAAUUACUGGGCGUAAAGCGCGUGUAGGCGGACCGGAAAGUCGGGCGUGAAAUCCCUGGGCUCAACCCAGGAACUGCACUCGAAACUUCCGGCCUUGAGUGGUGGAGAGGGUAGUGGAAUUCCUGGUGUAGAGGUGAAAUUCGUAGAUAUCAGGAGGAACACCGGUGGCGAAGGCGGCUACCUGGACACCAACUGACGCUGAGACGCGAACGCGUGGGGAGCAAACAGG
rnacentral:rRNA from 1 species